rnacentral:rRNA from 1 species
AGCGAACGCUGGCGGCAGGCCUAACACAUGCAAGUCGAACGCGAAAGUCCUUCGGGGCGAGUAGAGUGGCGGACGGGUGAGUAACGCGUGGGAAUCUACCCUAGAGCGGGGGACAACCCGGGGAAACCCGGGCUAAUACCGCAUACGUCCUACGGGAGAAAGAGGGCCUCUGCUUGCACGCUCUCACUCCAGGAUGAGCCCACGUCCGAUUAGCUAGUUGGUAGGGUAAAGGCCUACCAAGGCCACGAUCGGUAGCUGGUCUGAGAGGAUGAUCAGCCACACUGGGACUGAGACACGGCCCAGACUCCUACGGGAGGCAGCAGUGGGGAAUAUUGGACAAUGGGCGCAAGCCUGAUCCAGCAAUGCCGCGUGUGUGAAGAAGGCCUGCGGGUUGUAAAGCACUUUCAGUGGGGAAGAACAGAUUCGGGUCAAUACCCCGGAGCCCUGACGUUACCCACAGAAGAAGCACCGGCUAACUCCGUGCCAGCAGCCG